CGGCCCGGCUGGAGGGGAGGGGGAGCCUGCGGCCGGGGGAUGCGGGGGGAGGAGGGGGCGGGCUCCCAAUCCGGUUCCAUCCGGUUCUCCCACCGCCCCCGCCGCGGGUCCCAGCAGCUCCGGCGGCGGGAGGAGCGGCAGCGGCCAGGCAGCCCAGAUUCGCGAAGGCUCUCGGCGCGCCGCGGACCGCAGGCACCCGGCACGCGCCCGCGCCCUCGCCACGAUGCCCAAGAGGAAGGUCAGCUCCGCCGAGGGGGCGGCAAAGGAGGAGGUAAGAGCCCCCCGCCUGUCCCGGGGUGGGUUCGGUUCGCCCCGCGUCCCGUGCGUCUUACUCAUUCUGCUUUUCUUUCCCGAAGCCCAAGAGGAGAUCGGCGAGGUUGUCAGCUAAACCUGCUCCUGCAAAAGUGGAAGCGAAGCCAAAAAAGGCGGCAGGAAAGGAUAAAGCUUCAGACAAAAAAGUACAAACUAAAGGGAAAAGGGGAGCAAAGGGAAAACAGGCCGAAGUGACCAAGCAAGAGAUGAAAGAAGAUCUGCCUGCGGAAAACGGAGAAACUAAAAGCGAGGAGAGCCCGGCCUCCGAUGAAGCAGGAGAGAAAGAAGCCAAGUCUGAUUAACAGCACACGCCCAGUCCUGCAGUGGUCCCUGUGUCCCUUCUUGUACAAUCCAGAGGAAUAUUUUUAUCAACUAUUUUGUAAAUGCAAGUUUUUUAGUAGCUCUAGAAACAUUUUUAAGAAGGAGGGAAUCCCACCUCAUCCCAUUUUUUAAGUGUAAAUGCUUUUUUUUAAGAGGUGAAAUCAUUUGCUGGUUGUUUAUUUUUUGGUACAACCAGAAAAUAGUGGGAUAUUGAAUGUGGGAGGCUUUGAAUGUCUUGGGUGUCAGCUUAACAUUCCAUAGAUGGGGAGCUUUUAUAUCCUGUAAUACAAAGCGUACUAAAUGGUGAUUUGGAGUCAGUUGUGCAUUUAACGUCUUGAACACUCGAAAUUACUUCUCUUCCCAUGUUGUUUUUGGUAGAACUGUUUCUAAAGCAGACCAACCUUGACCUUGGCUCUCCUUGUCAGAAUUGUGUGCACUCUGUAACACCUUUGGUCGUGGUAGUCCAGUUUUCCUAGUAAUUUUGUUCAUGUGCUGUGAAAGACUGAACAUUUGAGUACGUAGUAUAUAUGAUAUUAAAAUUGUGAAUUAGUGGGACUUAUGAUAUAACAGCAUAUCAUCAUUCGAAGAUAUUGGCACUUGAUAUCCUGUUAAGGAAAAUUUGCCUCCAAAUUUUAAGCUGUAAAGUCACUGGAAUAACUGUUGAGAAAAGAAUCACAACUAUAUGAUUUUUUUAGAUUUUUGGUACGUAUGUUAAGAAUUGUGUACAAGUUGAAAUAUCUGUGUACUGAUCCUCAAAACAACCAAUAAAAUCUCAGUUACGAAAGAA